UAUUCUCCCUUCCUUGGCUACUUCCUCCUCCCCUUACUGAAGGAUGGUGUGUGUACAUCUGAAUGGGGGUGGGAUGCGGGGGGUGGAGUUUAGCUUUGGGUCCUCAACAAAAACAUAAUGGUUCCCAGUAGGCCAGAGCGGGGCAACCAAGGAGGCAGGAUCCUGGCCUCUCUCGGAUCUGCAGGAAGAGUGGGCUGUGCGGGUACAGGGUGGGAUGCCCGUUCUGGCCGGCGGUGCCUGCUGAGCCCUUCCUGAUGUGACUUUAUUAGACAAACACCUACUCCCGCCAGGGGUAGACACACGAGUAUUCUGCUUUAGGAAGAUUUCUGCAACACGACAGGGUGCAAUUCAAAAUCUGGGUUCUCCUUUCCUGAGCUCAGAAACCAAUUUGUUCUGAGAUAGGAGAAGGCUCUGUAAGCAGAAGACCUAAGAGAUGGAAGGAGGCGCCUGGCGUCAGCGGGUCGCUUCUCAGCCGUGAACACGAGCGGCCAGCAGGUGUCAGUGCGUCCUCGCUUUGCCCUGGCGUUCGGCUCCUGGACCCCUCCCCACCUCUGUCUAAGGGGGCGCGGUCCAGACCCCCGGUCGCGCGUGUCCCGCAGACAGCUUCGUGGCUGGGAGGACACGUAGCCGCUUCUUCCCUAAGCCGAGGUCCGAACUCUGGCCUGUGCCACUUCCCCAAAGGUGCUGUCCAUUCCGCCCAGGGGUUCCAUCCGAACCCGCGCCUUUCUCCCUCUCCAGCACCCCUUUCUCCCCAGCCGCGAGGAGCACCUGCGGACCGGGUCGGCUCUGGCCCGGAGCCGGGCUGCUCCAGAUGUAACCCACACCGGAGGUUACUUCCCUCGAUUUGGGCAGGGAUUCCCCUCCACUUUUUCUUCCCUUUUCUCCCAAGAUCCAGCUCCUUGGGGGCACUCACGGGUGCCCGUCGCGUUCUGCUCGGUUGGCCGGGAGCUGCAUGGCCAACUCCCAGCAGGGGCCGCUCCCCCGCGCCCCCGCCCCCCCAACCACCGGGCUCCCUCUUUAAGCCUCUCGCUCAAGGUACGCGCCUCUCCAAAGGGCUGGUCCCGCCUGAGGGCAACUCUCCCCGAGGUCCAGCGCUGGGCGCCGGCGCUAGACUGGCGGAGGGGUGGUGCGAGGGGCGGGGGAGGGUCGGCUUCCCACGUGGGGGCUGACGCUGGCUGCUCAGCAACGCCGGCUUGAUCCUGGGGCUAUAAAACGAGUCCACCGUGAGCGCAGCGGAGCAGCAGCAGCUCCGGCUCCGUGCAGACGCCCAGCAGCCGGCGUGCCGCCGCCCGGCAGCUCCAGCGCCUUCUUCCCCCAGCCUUGCGCUCCAAGCCCAACUCGCGCUGUCGUCGGACCCCGGCCCAUCCAGUCGCGCUCGGCGCCCACCUGGCGGACGCCCAGGAGACACCCUGCCUCCGUCGCGGCUCCUGGAGAGCUGAUCGUUCACCUGCCCCGGCCCGCCUGAGGACGGGGGUGCCUUCAUGCGGUGCCCACACUCCUCACCCCGCCGCCGCCGCCGCCCCCGAGCUCCGCACAGUGCGCCCCAGCCCCAGCAGGGCGCACAACUUUGGAAGUCUCGCGGCGCUCCGAGAGGCGGCAGGGUCCGCGCCCCAGCCCCGGGCCGGGCCCGGCCAGAACCGCAGCGUCUGGGGGAAGCCAGAGAGUCGGUAAUCGCUUCGGGGAUAUAAGGAGACAGACAUAGGACCCCAGGCUCGCAUCAGCACCCCUCGGCUGCCUCCCGGGGUGGGGGCGGGCCCCGCACACGCCUGAUGGAAGACCUUUUGUCUUCAAUAGCACAAGAGGGUGGGCCUAGAAGAACUCCAAGACCCAUACGUGACCUGAACGACCACGAUGCAUUUCUAGACUUGAAACUGAGGUCUCCUGAUGCCAGGCACUUUCCACAAUGUGCAGUUGCUUCAUAUGUAAGAACGCUGUCCCACAGAGGCUGGGGCAUGGCUGCUGCAACUCUUUUAUCCCCAUAGCCCACAGCAGAUGAGACAAUCAACUUUCAUUGAAUGGACUACUGAGGGGCCUCGUGCUUGCUUCGUCACCCCCACUUCCUCUCCAUGCCAGAGCCAGGGAUGGUAAUGGCCAUAGUCCUUGUGGCCCUUUCUGCGUGCCAGGCAGGCGUGCUGCAGGCUUACCCAUGAAUGAGCCCAGGGCCUGGUAAUGGAAUUGAAGAUAUCUGAAUGAAUUGUCUGAUGCAUCAUGACUAAGCUUGGAAUGUGCCAACUGUCCCCCAGGAGUGGCCCUUGGACAGCAGAGCUGGAGUGCUGGGACUCUGCGUGCAGGAAGGACGCCAUGCUCUGGGAGAGCCAUCGACAGAGCUGCUCUGGAGUUCUGGAAGUGCUUGGAGGGUGUGGGCAGUUGUCACACGAAUCUGUUGCACCAGCCUGUUGGCUUUCUGGUGAAGGGGUGGUGGCACAGUCUGCUGCUGUGCCUCUGGUAGUAGGUGGACAAUCAGUCCACACAACCUUCUUCAUUUGUGGUCAGAUUUGGAUACUCCCAGGCUUUGUCACUGAUCUCAUUUUGACUUACCAGGAAGCUCCACAUCUUGGUCUUUGUCAAUUUCAUGGAGAGGAUAAUUCUCAUUUUAUUUCCAUGAACACUCCAUUUCAAAUAUGUUCAGGAAGCCUUUCAUCACCUCUUUUGGGCCUCCACUUCCCUCCCACCUCCUUCCUACAUCUGUUCUUCUCCAGGGUGAAUGGUUUCAAUUUUAUCAAUGUUUCUUCCUGUGGCUGUAUGUUUAGGUCCUUUCCUCAUGCGGAUCACCAAAUAUAAGAUUUAUUUA